UACGUGUGAGGCAAGCGUUAUUCGUCUUUAAUGGGUCUAAAGGGCUCGUAGGCGGCCAACUAAGUCAGACGUGAAAUCCCUCGGCUUAACCGGGGAACUGCGUCUGAUACUGGAUGGCUGGAGUUUGGGAGAGGGAUGCGGAAUUCCAGGUGUAGCGGUGAAAUGCGUAGAUAUCUGGAGGAACACCGGUGGCGAAGGCGGCAUCCUGGACCAACACUGACGCUGAGGAGCGAAAGCCAGGGGAGCAAACGGG
rnacentral:rRNA from 1 species